UCAGUCCCACAGAAUGAACUCAGUGCUACCC
rnacentral:piRNA from 1 species